GGCCGUCGGGGGUCCCGGGGCCGGCGGCGGAGAGCCGCUGGGCGAGGGGGUAGAACUCGCCGGUGGAGUUCCGCGCCUCGCUGAGGCCG
rnacentral:tRNA from 1 species